GUUAUUGGGUGCCUCACUCUGACCCCCUCUCUCUGCUUCAGAGUUCGCCAGUCCAGGAGACAACCACCACAUCUGAGCUGCCUUCAGAGACUCAGGAGACCACAGGCCCCGCCCUAUGCAGCCCUCUCAGGAAGUCACCCCUGACCCUCGAGGACUUCAAGUUCCUGGCAGUGUUGGGCCGGGGUCACUUUGGGAAGGUGCUGCUUUCUGAGUUCCGGCCCAGUGGGGAGCUGUUCGCCAUCAAGGCUCUGAAGAAAGGGGACAUUGUGGCCCGAGAUGAGGUGGAGAGGUGGGGACCUUGCUCAGGCCGUCUGAGAACAUCAGUCUUCCCUCCUGGGAAAUGGGAGUCGGAGCAGUCCUUCCGCACACUUACUGAGCUAGUACUUAAGAAAAUACGAACUCU